rnacentral:rRNA from 1 species
CAGUCGCCGCGGUAAUACGUAGGGUGCAAGCGUUAAUCGGAAUUACUGGGCGUAGAGCGUGCGCAGGCGGUUAUAUAAGCCAGAUGUGAAAUCCCCGGGCUCAACCUGGGAACUGCAUUUGAGACUGUAUGGCUAGAGUGUGUCAGAGGAGGGUAGGAUUCCACGUGUAGCAGUGAAAUGCGUAGAUAUGUGGAGGAAUACCGAUGGCGAAGGCAGCCCCCUGGGAUAACACUGACGCUCAUGCACGAAAGCGUGGGGAGCAAACAGGAUUAGAUACCCCGGUAGUCCCUGUCUCUUAUAC